rnacentral:rRNA from 1 species
AGUGAACGCUGGCGGUAGGCCUAACACAUGCAAGUCGAACGGCAGCACAGGAGAGCUUGCUCUCUGGGUGGCGAGUGGCGGACGGGUGAGGAAUACAUCGGAAUCUACUCUGUCGUGGGGGAUAACGCAGGGAAACUUACGCUAAUACCGCAUACGACCUACGGGUGAAAGCAGGGGACCUUCGGGCCUUGCGCGAUUGAAUGAGCCGAUGUCGGAUUAGCUAGUUGGCGGGGUAAAGGCCCACCAAGGCGACGAUCCGUAGCUGGUCUGAGUGGUUGAUCCGCCAGACUGGAACUGAGACACGGUCCAGACUCCUACGUGAGGCAGCAGUGGGGAAGAUUGGACAAUGGGCGCGAGACUGAUCCGGACAUACCGCGUGGGUGAAGAAGGCGUUCGGGUUGUGAAGCCCUUUUGUUGGGAAAGAAAUCCAGCUGGCUAAUACCCGGUUUGGAUGACGGUACCCAAAGAAUAAGCACCGGCUAACUUCGUGCCAGCCGCCGCCGUAA